rnacentral:rRNA from 1 species
CUCAGAACGAACGCUGGCGGCGCGUCUAAGCAUGCAAGUCGAACGGCAAGAGGUAGCAAUACCUCCUAGAGUGGCGGACUGGUGAGUAACACGUGGGUGACAUACCCUUCAGAUGGGGAUAGCUAUUAGAAAUAGUAGAUAAUACCGAAUACGAGCACAGGGAUUAGAGAUCUGUGAAGAAAGGAGCUAAGGCUCCGCUGAAGGAAUGGCCUGCGGCCCAUUAGCUAGUUGGUGAGGUAAGAGCCCACCAAGGCGAUGAUGGGUAUCCGGCCUUAGAGGGUGAACGGACACAUUGGGACUGAGAUACGGCCCAGACUCCUACGGGAGGCAGCAGCUAAGGAUAUUCCGCAAUGGACGAAAGUCUGACGGAGCGACGCCGCGUUGGAUGAAGAAGGCCGGAAGGUUGUAAAAAUCCUUUUGAAACUGAAGAAUAAGCGUUGUAGGGAAUGACAGCGUGGUGACAGUAGGUUUUGAAUAAGCAACGGCUAAUUACGUGCCAGCCGCCGC